rnacentral:rRNA from 1 species
UACGUAGGGGGCCAGCGUUGUCCGGAAUCAUUGGGCGUAAAGCGCGUGUAGGCGGUUUCAUAAGUCGUGCGUGAAAGCUCCCUGGCUCAACCGGGAGAGGUCGUGCGAUACUGCGAAACUUGAGUCAGACAGAGGCAAGUAGAAUUCCGGGUGUAGUGGUGAAAUGCGUAGAUAUCCGGAGGAAUACCAGUGGCGAAGGCGACUUGCUGGGUCUGUACUGACGCUCAGACGCGAAAGCAUGGGGAGCGAACGGG